rnacentral:rRNA from 1 species
GGGAGGAAAUCGCUAGGGGUUCUCCCCUAGUGUUGACCUAUCUUCGGAAGAAGGACGGGCUAAGUUCGUGCCAGCAGCCGCGGUAAUACGAACCGUCCAAACGUUAUUCGGAUUCAUUGGGCUUAAAGGGUACGUAGGCGGCGCUUCAAGUCGGGUGUGAAAUCCCUCGGCUCAACCGAGGAACUGCGCCCGAUACUGGAGUGCUUGAGGGAGACAGAGGUAAGCGGAACUGAUGGUGGAGCGGUGAAAUGCGUUGAUAUCAUCAGGAACACCAGUGGCGAAAGCGGCUUACUGGGUCUCUUCUGACGCUGAGGUACGAAAGCUAGGGGAGCGAACGGGAUUAGAUACCCCGGUAGUCCUAGCUGUAAACGUUGAGCACUUGAUUGAGGAUCCCCCAUAGGUUCUCGGUCGAAGCGAAAGUGAUAAGUGCUCCGCCUGGGGAGUAUGGUCGCAAGGCUG